AUGCCUGUCAGUAAAGGACAAUACUCAUUACUGAGGCCAAGGACUACAUCCACACUGCACCAGCUUUGCCAAGCAUUAUCCAAUUGUUUUAUCUUCCCAUCUCCUGUUAGAGAACUGCAGCCUUUUUCUGUUCUCUUUAGAGCUUUUUACUGGUGAAAUGCCCAGCUCAGGUGACUUUGCACUAACCCAGUUCUGGGGUGGGUGUUUGUAUUGAUUCAGGCUCUUCUUUCUGACCCUGUUCCCAGACAGGCUGAGGAAGGGACCCAAGAACACCCCAAGGAUCUGCAAGCUCCAGUAAAGUGCUCUAAAAUAGAUCAUAAGAAGAGACAGGGAAUUCAAGAGCUGAAAUGAAGCCUGCACCACCACGGGCAGCCUGCACCCUCCCACCAGGCCCACCAGGUCAGCAUCACAAACAACCAAAGAGCAAGGAUCAGCCUCCUGUGCAACAGCACCCCAGGGACACCAGUGCUCCAGCAGUGCCAGCCUGAGCAGCUCAGAGGGAGCACUGACACACUAACACCAGCCUGAAUAUUCUGAUGGAAAAUUGGAUGGAAUUAGGAAAAAAAAUGAAUAAAAUACAGAAGUUGGAUGAUCUCUA